AUACGGAGGGUGCAAGCGUUGCCCGGAUUCACUGGGCGUAAAGGGGGCGUAGGCGGCCAGGCAAGUCAGGCGUCAAAGCCCACGGCUCAACCGUGGAACGGCGUCUGAAACUGCUUGGCUAGAGGCCGAGAGAGGGGAGCGGAAUUCCCGGUGUAGCGGUGAAAUGCGAUGAUAUCGGGAGGAACACCGAUGGCGAAGGCGGCUCCCUGGAACGGUCCUGACGCUGAGGCCCGAAAGCGUGGGGAGCAAACAGGAUUAGAUACCCCAGUAGUCC
rnacentral:rRNA from 1 species